rnacentral:rRNA from 1 species
AAUAAUGUGUGAAAGUACACGAGCGGCGGACGGCUGAGUAACGCGUAGGAAUGUACCCCAAAGUGAGGAAUAACUGCCUGAAAAGGUAGCUAAUGCCGCAUAUGGUCCACGGAUUAAAGCCUUCGGGCGCUUUGGGAGCAGCCUGCGUAUGAUUAGAUAGUUGGUGAGGUAAUGGCUCACCAAGUCUACGAUCAUUAGCUGGUCUGAGAGGAUGAUCAGCCAGACUGGGACUGAGACACGGCCCAGACUCC